CGUAGGCGGUUUGUUAAGUCAGUUGUUAAAGACCAUGGCUUACCCAUGGAAGAGCAAUUGAUACUGGCAGACUAAGAGGGCAAGAGAGAGAAGUGGAAUUCCCGGAGUAGCGGUAGAAUGCGUAGAUCUCGGGAGGAACACCGAUGGCGAAGGCAGCUUCUUGGCUUGUACCUGACGCUGAGGCGCGAAAGCGUGGGGAGCAAACA
rnacentral:rRNA from 1 species